UGUCUUUUUGAAUUUAAUAUAAGGUCUAAUCUGCCCACUGAUUAAAUAUUAAAGGGCUGCAGUAUAUUGACUGUACAAAGGUAGCAUAAUCAUUAGUCAUUUAAUUGGUGACUUGUAUGAAGGAUUGGAUGAAAUAUAAACUGUCUCUUAGGUUAGAUAUAGAAUUUAAUUUUUUAAUUAAAAAGUUAAAAUAAAUUAAAAAGACGAGAAGACCCUAUAGAGUUUUAUAUAUAGGUUAUUUAAGAUUAUUUAGUAAAAUUAAAAUUAAUUUAUUUAUUAUGUUGGGGUGAUAAAAAAAUAUAUUUAACUUUUUUUUUAUGUAAAUACAUUUAUAAGUGAUUAGAUGAUCCAGUAUUAUUGAUUAUAAGAAUAAAUUACCUUAGGGAUAACAGCGUAAUUUUUUUUUUUAGUUCGUAUAAGAAAAAGAGUUUGCGACCUCGAUGUUGGAUUAAGAUAAAAUUUAAAUGCAGAAG
rnacentral:rRNA from 1 species